rnacentral:lncRNA from 1 species
UUUUAAAAAUGGAAUAAUUUAUGUCAAUGAGUGGAUGCAAAUUGAUAAAUACAAAUGCUUGAAAUGUAAAUGAAUGUCUUUAGGAGGGACAAAAUUUAGGGUAUGACAGGUAUGUUCUUGGCAUGAAGAGAAAUCUGAUGAGUGUAUGUCGUCUAAUUGAAAAAUAUUUCUCAGUUACUAUGAAAGACAAUCUCUUGAAGUUG